rnacentral:rRNA from 1 species
UCAAGUGAAUAAGUGCAUGUGGUGGAUGCCUUGGCGAUUACAGGCGAUGAAGGACGUAGUAGCUUGCGAAAAGCUGCGGGGAGCUGGCAAACGAGCUUUGAUCCGCAGAUGUCCGAAUGGGGAAACCCACUCAGCAAUGAGUAUCCCGCAAGGGAGGCAAACCUGGAGAACUGAAACAUCUAAGUACCCAGAGGAAAAGAAAUCAACCGAGAUUCCGAAAGUAGUGGCGAGCGAAAUCGGAGGAGCCAUACAGUGUUAUAGUAUUGAGAUAGAAAAACAGGCUGGGAAGCCUGACCGUAGAGGGUGAUAGUCCCGUAUUCGAAAUCCAAUAUUAAGAACUAAGCUGUUAAGAAGUAGGGCGGGACACGUGGAAUCCUGUCUGAACAUGGGGGGACCAUCCUCCAAGGCUAAAUACUCGUAAUCGACCGAUAGUGAACAAGUACCGUGAGGGAAAGGCGAAAAGAACCCCGGGAGGGGAGUGAAAUAGAUCCUGAAACCGCAUGCAUACAAACAGUGGGAGCCCUGAAAUAGCGGGUGACUGCGUACCUUUUGUAUAAUGGGUCAGCGACUUACAUUCUGUAGCGAGCUUAACCGAAUAGGGGAGGCGUAGGGAAACCGAGUCUGAAUAGGGCGAUAGUUGCAGGGUGUAGACCCGAAACCGGAUGAGCUAUCCAUGGCCAGGAUGAAGGUGCAGUAACAUGCACUGGAGGUCCGAACCGACUAAUGUUGCAAAAUUAGCGGAUGAGCUGUGGAUAGGGGUGAAAGGCUAAACAAAUCCGGAGAUAGCUGGUUCUCCUCGAAAACUAUUUAGGUAGUGCCUCGUGGUUAACACUUCUUGGGGUAGAGCACUGUUAUGGCUAGGGGGUUAUUGCAACUUACCAAACCAUGGCAAACUCCGAAUACGAGAAAGUGAUACACGGGAGACAGACAUCUGGUGCUAACGUCAGGUGUCGAAAGGGAAACAACCCAGACCGCCAGCUAAGGUCCCAAAUGAUCAAUUAAGUGGUAAACGAUGUGGGAAGGCAUAGACAGCUAGGAUGUUGGCUUAGAAGCAGCCAUCAUUUAAAGAAAGCGUAAUAGCUCACUAGUCAAGUCGUCCUGCGCGGAAGAUGUAACGGGGCUAAAUUGAUAACCGAAGCUGCGGAUAGAACUUAGGUUCUAUGGUAGAGGAGCGUUCUGUAGGCCAAUGAAGGUGUCUUGAGAAGGAUGCUGGAGGUAUCAGAAGUGCGAAUGCUGACAUGAGUAGCGUUAAAGCGGGUGAAAAGCCCGCUCGCCGAAAGUCCAAGGUUUCCUACGCAACGUUAAUCGGCGUAGGGUGAGUCGGCCCCUAAGGUGAGGCAGAGAUGCGUAGCCGAUGGGAAACAGGUUAAUAUUCCUGUACCGAUGUAUAGUGCGAUGUGGGGACGGAGAAGGUUAGGUUAGCCAACUGUUGGAAAUGUUGGUUUAAGCGUGAAGGUGUGUAUCUUAGGCAAAUCCGGGAUACUUUAACACUGAGGCGUGAUGACGAGGUGCUACGGCACUGAAGUAAUUGAUACCAUGCUUCCAGGAAAAGCCACUAAGCUUCAGCUAUAUAUUGACCGUACCGCAAACCGACACUGGUGGACGAGAUGAGUAUUCUAAGGCGCUUGAGAGAACUCUGGAGAAGGAACUCGGCAAAUUAGCUCCGUAACUUCGGGAGAAGGAGCGCCCCGAUAAUGUGUAGGACUUCGCGUCCGAAGCAGUAAGGGGUUGCAGUGAACUGGUGGCUGCGACUGUUUAUUAAAAACACAGCACUCUGCAAACACGAAAGUGGACGUAUAGGGUGUGACGCCUGCCCGGUGCUGGAAGAUUAAAUGAUGGGGUGCAAGCUCUUGAUUGAAGUCCCAGUAAACGGCGGCCGUAACUAUAACGGUCCUAAGGUAGCGAAAUUCCUUGUCGGGUAAGUUCCGACCCGCACGAAUGGCGUAACGAUGGCCACACUGUCUCCUCCAGAGACUCAGCGAAGUUGAAAUGUUUGUGAAGAUGCAAUCUCCCCGCGGCUAGACGGAAAGACCCCAUGCACCUUUACUGCAGCUUUGUAUUGGACUUUGACCAUAUCUGUGUAGGAUAGGUGGGAGGCUUUGAAGUUGUGACGCUAGUCACGAUGGAGCCGACGUUGAAAUACCACCCUGAUAUGUUUGAGGUUCUAACCUAGGUAUAACAGUACCGGGGACAGUACAUGGUAGGCAGUUUGACUGGGGCGGUCUCCUCCCAAAGAGUAACGGAGGAGUACGAAGGUAACCUAGAUACGGACGGAAAUCGUAUUGAUAGUGCAAUGGCAAAAGGUUGCUUGACUGCGAGACUGACAAGUCGAGCAGGUGCGAAAGCAGGUCAUAGUGAUCCGGUGGUUCUGAAUGGAAGGGCCAUCGCUCAACGGAUAAAAGGUACGCUGGGGAUAACAGGCUGAUACCGCCCAAGAGUUCACAUCGACGGCGGUGUUUGGCACCUCGAUGUCGGCUCAUCUCAUCCUGGGGCUGAAGUCGGUCCCAAGGGUAUGGCUGUUCGCCAUUUAAAGAGGUACGUGAGCUGGGUUUAAAACGUCGUGAGACAGUUUGGUCCCUAUCUGCCGUGGGCGUUGGAGAUUUGAGGGGGGCUGCUCCUAGUACGAGAGGACCGGAGUGGACAGACCUCUGGUGUACCGGUUGUCACGCCAGUGGCAUUGCCGGGUAGCUAAGUCUGGAAAAGAUAACCGCUGAAAGCAUCUAAGUGGGAAACUUGCCUCGAGAUAAGAUCUCCCUGAGUAUUAAAUACUCCAUAAGGGUCGUUGGAGACUACAACGUUGAUAGGUCAGGUGUGGAAGCGCAGUAAUGUGUUAAGCUAACUGAUACUAAUUGCCCGUGAGGCUUGACUCU